rnacentral:lncRNA from 1 species
AGGUGCUUCAAGCAAGAGGGGAGUGUAACCAAGGACUGCCACUUCACUCUCCUUCAUAUGCUUAGCCGAACUUAGGAAAGGAACUGCAGGGAUGGAAAUGAAGAGGAGCCUGAGGAAAUGAAGGUCCAAGGACAGGCCCAAAGUAGGAUCCAGCUCAAGGGGAGGCCCCAAGGCCUGACACUAUUACUGAGGCUAUGGAGCGUUCACAAAAAGGGACCCUGUCAUGGCCACACUCCAGAAGACCCAACAAGAAGCUGAAAGAGACUGGGCAUUCUAUUGGGCUCAGUGUCUCCAUCUUCUGAUGAAACCAGGAUCACAUUAUUCUUAAGAAUAUGAUAGAGGGCAAGCUUAAGCGGAAUCAGACAAGGUUCUCUGCUUUCACAUGGCACAGCUCCCAGUGUUUGGAAACAGAGCCUUUCCUAUUCCAGGCCAGGAUCUCGUCUGGCCUGCAGUUAGAGGCAUCAUACUCAGCUCACACCCUCCGGUGUGUCAAUGACCUUGAAAUACAAUGCAGAGAACGUAAGAGAUUCUUCUUGACAGUGACCAUCCUCGAUCCAGAAAGCAUACUUGGAGAAUACCAAGUCCGGGUCUUUUCAUCAACUCGAGGUCAACUCAAUUUCCAUAUCAUCUGGUAAGGUGUCUUAGGGUAUCCAGGACUUGGUGUUGUGGGACAACUGGGUUCUGAUGAUGCCAAAUAGCCUUGGCUUCUGUUGGUGUCCUGGAAGCACAACAUCUACAGUGACAUUUAUUAAGACUUGAUGCCCCUAAGAAGUCAAGGUCUCCACUGCGAAGGAACUGUUCAUAUGGUGACUUGUUUUUCUUCCACAAGACAGAUCCUCUUUGUGUAAUACUACUAAGAAAGCCUUCCACUGCACAGUGGCUUGUCUAGGAAGAUUCAAAAGCUUUGAUUUUGUCCAAACAAUUGAUGUUUUAUAUUUAAAAAAUAAAAUUUCUGGAAUUCA